UGCGUGUGUAUGUGUGUGUUUGCAUGUGAAGUGGUUUAGACAGGAUGUUUAAUUAUACGGAUCUGAAACCCAAGAGCAAGCUGCAUUUGUACCAAAAGCUCGAGAUGGAAGCAUACCUGUUCUUUUUUCUGCUGACUUGCACAAAUAUGCAAGUUGCUUCUGCUGAUACAUCUUUGUCGAAUUUAAAAUCGGCUGACACACUGACUGUGCGACAGAAAGAGAACAUCACACUGCAGUGUGACAUCACUGGCCAUGAGGAUGUGGCCUGGUAUCUUCUGAGUUCGGACAGGUUUACACUUCUGAUCUCAGCACGGAAAACUCGCACGCGUAAAGGCCUCCCAGUUUAUUAUAACAAAGACGAGAGUCGCUUUGCCCUGAAGCCAGACAGCGAGAUUAACACGGCUAUCUUCACCAUCUUCAGUCUAACGGAGGACGAUGAGGGACUUUAUUUCUGUGGAACUGCAGCCAAGCCAACACAGCUGCAUUUCGGCAACGGCAUCAGACUGCAGUUUGAAGAUAUAACACAGGAAUCAGGACUACAGCAGCAAAUAACACAACAACGAUGAUGAUGAUGAUGAUGAUGAUCUCUGGCUUUUUACUCCAUUCUUCAUCCUCAGCUCCCCCUGACCAAGACAACAAAUACAAAAACAAAUGAUAUGAAUUGUUUAAUUACUUCUUGGUAAAUGCACCCACAGUUUACAUUAUCUUAUCAUUAGGGCUGUUCUGAUGUUUAAAAUGUGUUGAAGUAAAAAAUCUGCAUUGACACUUACGGGUGG
ensembl:lncRNA